CAGGCUGGUCUUGAACUCCUGACCUCAAGUGAUUCUCCUGCCUCAGCCUCCCAGCAUGCCAGGAUUACAGGCGUAAACCACAGCGCUCGGCCAAGGACUAAUAUUCUUAAUGAUCAUGAGGCUCCAGUUACAAGCCACAGAUCCAAACUUGUCAUCUGGAGGAAACAUCAAAAAGCUUCAAAGGACCAUAUUAGGGAGAAACCUCUUUGGACUUUAAAUUCAAAUGAAAAAUUGCCAUAAAUUGGAACAAUAUGUAUCUGAAAGAAUUUAGUUGACUAUACUAUAGAUGCUCCAGGAAGAAAUGCAACUCUGCUGAUACUGAGUUUAGCCUACUGAGACCCAUACUGGACUUGUGACCUACAGAACCGUAAGAUAAUAAAGUUGUGUUG